rnacentral:rRNA from 1 species
GAAUCAGUACGCUGGUCGUGCCUUCGGUAUGUACUGGUGUCACUGGUUUCUCCCUUCUGAAGAACCAUCAUGCCAUUCACUUGGUGUGGUGGGAAAUCAGGACUGUUACUUUGAAAAAAUUAGAGUGUUCAAAGCAGGCCUUUGCCCGAAUACAUUAGCAUGGCAUAAUAAAAUAGGACG